rnacentral:rRNA from 1 species
CAAUAGCGUAUAUUUAAGUUGUUGCAGUUAAAAAGCUCGUAGUCGGAUUUUGGCUGAGAACGAUCGGUCCGCCGUUAGGUGUGCACUGAUUGGUCUCAGCUUCCUGGUGGGGAGGUGUGCUUCACGGCCACUUAGUCACCGUGGUUACUUUGAAAAAAUUAGAGUGUUCAAAGCGGGCUUACGCUUGAAUAUAUUAGCAUGGAAUAACACCAUAGGACUCCUGUCCUAUUUCGUUGGUCACGGGACGGGAGUAAUGAUUAAGAGGAACAGUUGGGGGCAUUCGUAUUUCAUUGUCAGAGGUGAAAUUCUUGGAUUUAUGAAAGACGAACUUCUGCGAAAGCAUUUGCCAAGGAUGUUUUCAUUGA